CUACGGGAGGCAGCAGGCGAGAAAACUUUGCAAUGUGCGAAAGCACGACAAGGUUAAUCCGAGUGGUUUGUGCUAAACGAACCUUUUGACAGUCCUAGAAACACUGUUGAAUAAGGGGUGGGCAAGUUCUGGUGUCAGCCGCCGCGGUAAAACCAGCACCUCAAGUGGUCAGGAUGAUUAUUGGGCCUAAAGCAUCCGUAGCCGGCUCUGUAAGUUUUCGGGUAAAUCUGUACGCUCAACGUACAGGCUGCCGGGAAUACUGCAGAGCUAGGGAGUGGGAGAGGUAGACGGUACUCGGUAGGAAGGGGUAGAAUCCUUUGAUCUAUUGAUGACCACCUGUGGCGAAGGCGGUCUACCAGAACACGUCCGACGGUGAGGGAUGAAAGCUGGGGGAGCAAACCGGAUUAGUACCCUUGUAGUC
rnacentral:rRNA from 1 species